CAUAUUCACCGCGUAAAAAUAUUUAUCAUUUUUUCCUUUCUUGUUUUUAGGAAAAAAUCUUAAUAAGUGUGAGACUGCAAAACUGAAUAGGUACUCUCAGCAUGAUCUCAUUAGGCAGAUAAUUUUUAUGCGGGCUGGAUUUAUGGAGCACACGCCCGACGUGCGUGAUCCAUAAACGUGACUUGAUUAGUACUAAAUCUUGCUGGCAACGAGGCGGAAACACGCGGCUUCGUACGAACCGUUCACGCGUUCUCCACGGGCCGGCUUCUCUUCCUGUUUUCUUGCUCGGGCACGGUGGGACCUACGCGCGACCUACGCGCCGAACUCGACAAUCGUCGCCGCGGAAAAAUGAAAUUCCUCAUAGUUAGGCACGUAUCGCAUACGCGAUUCCGAGGCGUGUCCAACCGUUGGAGUUUAUGUGGGUAUUGGCUUCCACGUGCCUCCAACUUUGGCGAAGUCGAUCGAUGGGAUUCGCGCAAUUAGUCGCCGGCGCGUCGACGAAGUCUCUAAAAUGCAACGUGUAACAAACGCUUUCAAGACGGAAACGUGACUCGCCACAAAACCGAUAACACAUUCGCUGUACACCUUGCGAUAUGUAAAGAGAAUUUUUUCUGAAACAUAUCAGCAUUCGCAGGUAGAUUGGAUAAUAACGCGUUAAACGGUUUUCCUUUCCGCGCUGGACAAUUUCCCAUCAGCAGUAUCGUGAAUCAAGGAGUUCCACAUUUACAUGGCUAGAUAGACGAUAGAUACGGUAGACGUUGCGGUUAAUACCGUGUCGACCGACACACCUCAAUACUUUCCUCACGACGAUAUGAGUGGCUUCAUUUGAUCCUCAAUAAAAUUGCUGUAAUCUAGCGGGGCUUCAUUAGAUAACGUAAGCACUUAGCGGCAGUAUUAGACGGAAAAUAUGCUGUAUACAUAAACAUGUCAUGCGCAAUAUUGCAGAGAAAGAGAUUUCUAAAAAUACAGAUCUUUUCGUUCCAGUUCUAGUUGAUUCACGAGAAAUAUUCCAGUUCGUGUAUUUUCGUUUAAUAUUAUAAUGUAUCUCAGUGUGCAAAAGACGACUAUUUCCGACUUUUGUUACUUGCCACUCUAGUUUCCAUAGUCUACUUUUUUCUUCGUUAUUUUCGCUCGCUUCUCUAUUCCAUUCUUUUCUGCAUUUUGUCUUUUAUCUGCCACAGAAUGAGCUAAUGUGUCUUUUUGAAAAUGAUUGCCAUGGAAGGGACAGAGUUAUUCAUAACCAAAGUAUUUUUGCAUCAAUAUCAACCAACCGUACGCGACUGCUUUAAGCAUGCACUUGCAGAAAAUCUGCCUGGUGAGGACACGACGUCUGACCUCGAUGAGCGAAAUUGGGCCACGACGCAUCACGAGAUAUCACCGAUCCCAAUGAUAUUAUUGCACAUUUCGUGGAUCGUUAUUGUCGGCUAACAUGAUAAAAUAAUACAGAGAUAUACUCGUGACACGUGCUGAAGAUAUCAUACCCGUUAGAAAUUUAACGACAAACUCGACUAUGAGGCAAAAACUGACAGCUACCAAUUUCACCAAAAAAUGGGAUUAUCGUGAUUCUGGAAUUACUAAAACCUCACUGAAUCUUUUUUUUCAGUGCAACCAGACAUGAUUAUUUCAGGACACCCGAAUCAUAUCGCGUAGCGAUGAGAAUUGCGGUUCACCAACACAUACUCCUAAUUCCAUAAACCUACUGUGUCAGCUACAUUUCCGCUUUGAUAUUCAAGCUUGUUUAAUCAAGGGUUAUCCAAUUGGCGCCGUGCAGCUUGAAUGUUAAUGAUUAAUUCAUGCUAGGCAAACGAUAUCUCAUGACAAUGAAGUCUUAACAUUCGUUGUCUGAAUAAUCAGCUCUAUUAUUAUGCAAACCGUUUCAACCAGUCGCUCGAUGAGCCACUCGAAUCGGAAUUCACGAGUGGAAGGACGUUAACUGCAACGAUUGCAGCUGGACGCAAACACUGGCGAUCGCGUCAUGCCGCGACGGAAAAUAAAUACCAGCGUUUACCGAGUGGGUUCAACCGAUUAACCAAUGCAUACUCGAUCGCGUUCAAUUUCAAUGAUUCGCGAGUACAAAACGAAGCCCUGCCCAUAGAUUCCUCUCAGGUAUAAAACAAUUCUCAAGAAACUCAUUAGAUUUAUCACUUCUUUGCAUUUAUCUCGGUUUCAAUUAUAAAUCAGACAGCAAAAAAUACGGAGAGAUAUGUAUGUGUGUGUGUAUACUGUAUAAUUACUGUGAGACUCAAGUUGACUGAUCAGUCACUUUCGUUGCAGUAAUUAUACAGUUUAUCGAGACAGUUUUACACUUGCUUGAAAAUAUUCUGUUUCUCCAAGUUUCUAAUAAUUUUCCCACAUUUUUUUCAACAUAUAAAGCGACUGAAAUGACGAUAACUUAAACGUCGUUCACGGACUAAUUCCGCAAAAUUCUCGAGUGCACCGUGAGUGCAAUGACAAAGCAUACUCGCGUUCACCAAGCCGGAAACUUGCCAUUGCCAUCCUCGGAAAGUUUCGAUGCGGUAACUUUGCCCGCGCAAACCCUCGGGGAAUUGGAUGCGUUCUUCGCGUUGCAGAUGCAGUUUCGCCGUGGGUCAUUCCCGACGCCAGCGGCAGAAUGUAACGUCGUGUGACCAGAAUUCAUCGUGUGGCAGGUAUCGUGCGAUGACAUGCCGAAAUAUAUCGCAUAUUGCGACAACAAUUCCAGUUCCAUUUGUUUAACGAUCGUUUAGCAUAAUGACCCAUCAUCGGGACAGGCAUUUCAGUAAUACUUCGCGGAAAUUCGCAUGCGACGACGAUAAAUAAAGUAGCAGCUUCAUUACGUGAGGGAUCAUGAGGGCAGAAUGUGAAAAAUCAAUAUCAAAAGUGGAUUCAGACUACCGACUGUGAAUAUCACAAAUUGGAUUAUCACUUGAAAGGUGCAAUUAUCGCGCGAAACGAAGCGGCUUUUCAGCAAGACUGCCGAAUUCGAUGUAAUUUUUGUCGCUCGCACUCUCCCAAUUUAUCGCGCAAUAUUAUAAUGCAACGUAAUAUAGUUGCAUGUAAUAACAAUAAUAUUCGUACGCGCGUAUUUCACUUCUCAAUGUCUUUUACAGGUCACAUCGUCCCAUUUCGAACGACCGUUUUGUAAACGCCUCCAUCGAUCGCGUGGAGAUCGGCGUGCUUCCAAAGUGAACCGGCAGGUGGGCAUGGUAGAUAGAACGAAGACCGAUGUCGAAACCUAAUAGAAUCAAGGAACUCGCGCACCACGGAGAUCCCAGAAAUUAGAGCGAGUUAGCGGAGUCGUCGGGUUACGUGAACAUCGUGGAUGCAUCCUGCCGAAAGUUUCUCCAAGCAACCCCGAGCGGAAAAGGUGGAAAGAGGGCUCUUCGGCAUGCACACUUUCCAAAGCCACCAGGAGAAACAAGAAUCCACUGCAACAAAUAGUUAUCAUGAUUUAAUAUUGACUAGUAUUACAUCGGCAUUGCAUAAUGUGAAAGUAAUUCACUGUAUAUCGUUAAACACAGACACCGCAAGAAGGCAAGUUGGCCAAACAUGAUGUAUAUAUAUAUAAUAAUAUGAAAACAGUACAAAGUGGAGCAAUUAAAAAUAAAACGUAAA
rnacentral:lncRNA from 1 species